ensembl:lncRNA
CAUUUGUCUGUGCAGCUUUGAGCUACACAUGUCAUUUAUUUUUUAAACUAGUUUCAAGGUUUGAGUAGCCCAGCUGUGCUGUUAGGAGACUAUUCAACACCCGCCAUCCCUUUCUUUCUUAAUUUAAACUACACAAUUGUAGCAGUAACUGGCCUUGUGGGACUGGAUUUCCAGCUGGUGGUGAACUGUCAUCAGUUGUAGGCUACUCCAGCAGUCUCCGCCUCCUCACUGAUGAUUAUUUAGCCACGGCUAGGUGACACCACUCCAAUCAGGUGGAUGAAAGAGGAAGGCUGCCGGCUGCUGCUGGGAAAGCUUUCACACUGCUAAGAAGGGAUAUCUCUUUCCCUACGGAGAAUACCAGUGUCAGCAAACGACUCCAGCAGCUGUGGCAGGUGAAAAAGCAUAACACUCUGAAUAUGAAAGUGCUCUACAGUUUAGCAGAACACCACAUUCUCAGGAUGCUGUUCUUGAGAAGCCCUGGCGCCACACAUGGAAAUUGGUUGGCUGUCCCUGCAGGACUGGAACCUCAGUGUCUCUCUUUCCUAGCACUUAACCUCCUCCACGCAGCACUAAGCACAAUGCCCUGAAAUCACCGCUGUCUAUGCUCCAAGGUGCGCGCCAGACUCUGCUGUGGCUCUUGCUCACGACAAAACUCCCCUGGCUCCUCUGGAGAGGCCUAAUUCGUAAUUCCCUCCAAGACCGUCAGACCCUUCUCAGUGUGUUCCUCCUUCAGGCAGAAGACACUCCCUUCCAGGAUGCUCUUUAGGGAACCUUAGAAGAAACCACUGCCCACAAAUUGUCCCCCAUGGAAGCCGAGACGGUCAUCGUUGGGGUGCAGCAUGGAGCUGCGCGGCUCACUCUUUAGAAAGACCCAGCGCAAACCUCACUCAGACACAGACUCCAGGGAGCCCCUGCUCCCCCCACCAAUACGAGAAAUCAUUCGCUGUCUUCAGGACUCAUCCUGCGCCUGCUCUCCCCGUGUGCCUGCCUGGAGAACUCAAAGUCAAAACUAGCUCAGUGGUUCUGCUGCUUGCUGCGCAAGCGCAAGGACCCGAGUUCGAUCCCAGGUAACAAAAAAACCAAACCAAAACAAAACAAAACAAAAAAACACACAAAAAACAAACUAAUGCUGACCGCGCACAUUGCUAGGCUCCGCGUGUUUCCUCUUCCAGGAAGCUCAGCACCACCCCAAAAUCCCCAUCAGUCCUCUCUGCGCUGGAUGGGAAAUAGAGAGCACCAGAUUCCUGGAGACAUACUGACCUUAAUCUGAGAAGUAACAUGCUUCCCCCUUGUUUAUUUUUCAGACUCUGGUGCUAGAAACACAUUUUAAGGGUCUAGUUAAAUUGUUGAGGUUGCUAAUCCCUAGUCAAGUAGCUCCGGAUUGAGUAUAGAUUUUGGUGGGCCAGCCAACUUCAGCAGCGCAUACAGCAACCAGCUCCCCGGGUUCCUCCUAGAUUUAGGGAAUUCUGGCUGGGCAUCUGUCGGGGGGAUUCCGUGUACGCAAGCAUAGUGCAAAUGUAAUUAUCUCUGAGUGCAUAGGCCAUUUUAUAGUCUUCUAGGAACAGCUAGGAAAAUCAUAUUUUGUCAUGUUUAUGAUGCUAAGACUUCUACUUUCUGAAAUAGCACACACAUGUACUGGUACACAGUUGAUGUAGAAAAGUAUAGCUUUUUACUACAGUCUCUAGAGCUACUAUAUACCAGAACAGACAAGCUACUUCAGCACUCUGCCUCACUUUUCUUAUUUAAAGAAAAACAAUAACAUUUUAUAAAAUAAAAUAAUCUAUGACUUCCCUUGAACCCAUGCAAUUACUUUCUUUUAUGGAUAUUAGCUACAUUUUAAUUACUAAAAUUUUAUGAACACUACAUCUAGGAUUUUAUGCUCAUGCACAGUUUUCAUAUAUGUUGAAUAAAUUGAAAUAAAUUUUUACAAGAACAUGCCUUAUUCAAAUUCCAAAAAGUGCUAAAUAGAGUAGGUAUGUAACACACCACUAGAUGAUAUGUUCUUUACAGUGUUAAGUGUGUUAUCACAACACAUGUUGGCAGGAUAACAUAUAAAUCAUUGCCUUUUAAUGAGCUCACAGUGACAAUUUGUGGGAGGUGGCCAUCCUAAAUUUUGAGCUCUACAAUUCCUUUCAGUUGCCUCAGUUAGAAUUUCUUAGCAGAAUCUCUUACACAAUCAGCCUCUGCCUGGCCUA